GGCGCAGAAGCGGUCCGGGCACGCCGGCGAGGACCCGGCGCCGCGGGACUGACCGCGUCGCGCGGUUCGGCGCCGCGUCGCGCCC
rnacentral:tRNA from 1 species